ensembl:lncRNA
CUUGUUCAGCUCUUGGUCAUAAAGUUGUCCUCAGCCUGUCUGUGUGGUCCUGAAGGGUCGGUGGCGGGCAGUUUCCAAAAUUGAGGUAAUAGGAGAUCAGAUGAAUUUGAGACGACCGGCCAAGAAAAAUAAAAAAUUUAAAAACAACAUUUAAAAAGGAUGGGGGAGUCUCAAAUGUUUAGGUCUCCCCCACUUAAAAUAAAAUCACUAGUAUUUUUUAAUAUUUCCGUUGCACUUCAAUCUUCUAACUCUUAAAAGAAAAUGUUAUCUGUGCUUUGAAAAUAAAUUAACUUUAUUUUAUUUUAUGCUCUAGUUCCUUUCCCCUAAUAUCGGAAAGUCUCUGCUCUCUUUUUGUAUUAAAGAGAAAAAAAAAAAAAAAGCCUGGUGAAAACUCAGCAGAACCCAGGAAGCGUAGAAUCAGGAGAAUGUCUUUGGCUGGGGCUGGUUCAAGUCCCUGGUUCAAUGGGCUGCUGGAAGCCAGGACUGGGUAAUUCUUUCCAGACGUCUUGACUUCUCCUUCCUCGCGGUUGUUGCCUUUCUGCCUCCUCCAACUUAAGGGGGUCUUAACAAGUGAGCUGGCAGCUUCUUUACCCACUGAACCACCAGGGAAGCCCGACCACUUUCCAAUGCAGAGGACAGGCUGGAUCCCACAUGCCUCAGGGCAAUUAUGUCUCAACUUGAGAGCCUGCAAAUGGAGGUCCUGGUAAGGAACACGAAACUGAUAAACCACCACAAACUGGAAGAGUUGGGAAAAGAUCAAAAGGAGAC